CUUUUGACCUAUAUGAAUAGUGAUGUUGAUUUGAUUUGACAGGCUACCACAUAACCUAUCAGGCCUAUCACAUCGAUUUGUCGUGCCACUAUUCCAACCAACCAUCAUUUGAUUGCAUGUUACAGAAUGAGCAAAAAGAACAUAUUUGGAAAGAUGACGUAUAGCCAAAGAUUCAGUACAUCGAGUAACUCUGACUUAUCGGAAGAGGAUGAGGGACUCGCUUCGCUCAUAGCUGACAUUCAGGCAACAUCUGCGUUAAUGUGUCGUUCAGAAAACGAAUCCGACAAUGUGGGACUAGCGCGGUCCAUAUACGGGGCGAGUCGGGAGGCGAGGUAUAUCGAACUGAUGCGCACCAUGCAGUUUGAAACAUUCGAGAUGAUAUCGGAGGACGGGGAGGGCGGGUUCAAGUUCACGGUGCCGUACCACUUCGAGGGCACGGUGCGCGCGGCGGGCCAGCGCUCGCACCCGGCGCGCAUGAAGCGCCUGGCGCAGGAGGCGGCCACCCUGGCCACCAGCCUGCCGCUCUCGUACUCCUCCUCCGUGUUCGUGCGCACCGACACCGACCGCCUGGACAUCAUGAAGGUCCUGAUCACGGGCCCGUCGGACACACCGUACGCGAACGGAUGCUUCAUCCUGGACGUGUACUUCCCGGCCGAGUACCCCACCGUGCCCAUGAUGAUCAACCUUGAGACCACGGGACGCCACUCUGUGCGGUUCAACCCCAACCUGUACAACGACGGCAAGGUGUGCCUCUCCGUGCUCAACACGUGGCACGGCAGGCCCGAGGAGAAGUGGAAUGCGCACACCUCUAGCUUUUUACAGGUGCUGGUGUCGAUCCAGUCGCUGAUCCUGGUGCCCGAGCCGUACUUCAACGAGCCGGGGUACGAGCGCAGCCGCGGCACGUGCGUGGGCACCUUGGCCUCGCUCGAGUACAACUCCAACAUCUACCAGGCGUGCGUGCGCUGGGCCAUGCUCGACCAGCUGCGCUCGCCCGAGCCCUGCUUCCGGGAGGUCAUACAGACUCACUUUUGGAUAAAACGGAACGAGAUAAUGCAAACCGUUGCGAACUGGAUCACUGAUCUCGAGGGGCAGAGCGGGGACGAGCGGACACACCGAACCAUCAAUCACAACCUGUGCGCACUCAAGCGGCACUAUGUGAAGCUACAAGAGGAGCUGGCCAAGUUGCCGGUGCCCGCCGGCCUCGAAGAUCUGGACGAGCCGUUCAAGUUGCCGGCCGCGCCCGGCCCCGCGCCGCUGCCCCGCCUGCCCGCCGCCGCCGCGCUGCUGGCGCCGAGCCCGCCCGCCUCGCCGCCGCCGCACGACGACGACGUGGUGGACCAGGACAUGGAGAAGAUCGUGUCCGAGGUGGUGGACUGAGCGGACUGCGGACGACAGCUGAUACCACUCACGAGCGGGUGGACGGAAACUGGCGACACCAACUCGCGACACCCACUCGCGACACCAACUCGCGACACCCACUCGCGACACCUACUCGCGACACCCACUCGCGACACCCACAGUUUAAUACAUGUUUGUAUGGACAUUAUUCAAUUUGUCACUUAAAAAAAUUUUGUUAACUUUUUUAUAACCCGUUAAAGUAGAUGAACGUUUCCAUAAUCCUAAGUUAGUUCGCGAGUUGAUUGUGCCUGUCCAGAAUAAAGAUCUUUUCGUACUUGUAAAAACAGAUAAAAAAUAUGUUAAUUAAUCUCCAAUGAUUCCCGUUUUAUCUUAUCGUGGGAAACAUUGGAGAUGAGGGACUAAAUAAUUGGUGCAAAUAUUUAGUUUGAACACUACGAGUACGUGGAUGUUGCAUUUAGAUUAGUUCUUGGGCGCAUACGAUCCAGUUUCAGCACAAACUGUUGUUAAUAAAAAAUGUAACUAAGGUUUGACGUGGACGUGAUUACUGCUGCUGUUGGAAUGAUAAAGCUGGCUUGUCCUUAAUAGUUCGUGUUUCUCCAAUAUGUGUAUUCCGACCAGUGUGUAGGGCGCCCUUUAUAUAUGUAAAGAUGUUAGUGACACGUAGUUAAUCGUAAUUUAUGUAUAUUAUUAUUAUUAUCCUUGCUGAGUUGAGACAACAACAAUAUAGCCGUCGCGAUCCAUGCGCUUGUAAUUAUUUGUAUUUCUGUUUUGAUUGUUUCAUAGGUGAGUUAAGCGAGCGUUUAGCGUGUCUUUUAGUUAACAUGUAUUGUGAUAUUAUAACGGGCUCACAGACCCGAUAAGUUAUUUUAUGGCGUACACAAGCAUUCGCUCGAGGUAGGGAAGUAGCCGGAGAUUGGCUACCCCGUGUUUGUUUAGGGUUUUUGCACAUUAUACCGCAUUACAUGCGAGCGUACCACACGGAUAGCAAGAGGUGAACCAUCGAGCUAUAUUUUAUUUGCUAUUGAUAUUAUAAUAUCAUCAUUCAAAUGCUCCUUUUGCUAUUAUGCGAGAGCGCUAUGGUAUAAGUGUACGACGACCUUAAAACGACUCUGUACUGUAUCCCCCACAUACAUUAAGAGUCUAUUACAUAAAGCCGAGUGUACAUAUACGUAACCAGUAUCAGUGUCCAGCAGAUGUUUUACUCAAUCACUGGUUUCAUAUUAAUUAUACAGUAUGUAAUAUAUUAUAAACGUUUUAAAUUAUAAUUUACUGUACAUAUAUUGUGUAUCGAGUUUAAAUUUUGUAUUUAAGAUGUAUUUAGCGGUGUACAGUAGACGCUGUAUGAUGUUGUUUUAAAAUUUAUAAUUACAUUUUGUGAACUAUGUACAGACGUAGUCCGCAAUCAUCUUAAUCGUGAUACCUCGGCUUGGUGUCGAUCAGUUCGAGUCCAGAUCUGUGGUUCCGAUGUGUCAAUCACUGUUUGCUACCAAAUCAAUGAUUAUGUUUUAUUUGAUGUAGGAAUGACAGUAAGGGCUAUAUUAUUUCAUUGUGACACCAUGGUAGCUCAACCAGUCGCCGCUACCAACUUAGUUGGUUACAUUUA